CAUUUUAAAGUUGCGCUGUAUCACGCGCGAGUGCGUUGUCGUUGAGUGGUUCUGAAAUCGCUGCGUUAGGGGCGACUGCAACCAAGCGUUGCGGCAAGUUACGGUGGGAGCUUCUGUCCGUGCUGUGUGAUUGCGACGAGGGGACCGCCGCCAACAGCAGCGUAUCGCCGAUUUCGUCUUUCGGUUUGCACUGCAUCUUUCAUUGUGAUAUGGGAGAUCUCAACGGACAGAGACGACCAGAUGCAUACGAACCACUACCAGCGGGGACCUGUGACCUGUGCCAUAUUUCUCUUAACGUCUCAGGUAUUCAAGAAAUUCCAACAUCCAGAAGACGCCAUCUUAUCCAGCACGUUAUGGGUACACUCUGGUGGCUCCCGCCCCUGCAUCCUACCACCACUGUGUCCUGACUACGUCCACUAGAGAGUUCGAAGCCUUUGGCGGCUCCUGCCACUGCGUCCUGCCGCCACCAUGUCCCGACUAUGUCCACUAGGGAGUUGGCAGCCUUCGUGAUGAUGCCAAGCAGGCUGGAAGCCGGCAGAAAGAUUAAGGUUGCCUCGAAAUUUUACCAAAGCCGUACCACACACUCGGGCCAGGCCUUUUUGCAAACGGCGUAUAACCAAGCUCAACGCAUGAGUGUCGAGUGAGUCUGGAGAUCAAGGCAACCUGCUGUGCAACCAGCAUGCAACCUUUGGUGACCCCUCUACAUGUUCCACCUAUUUCACAGCUGCACCUCAGCUGCAACUUAUCCAAACAGCAUCACCAACUGUGGUCACUCAUCGAACCAUGGAUGAAUGUUGGGGUGGAGUGAUUUGAAGAGACAUUCUAUUUGUCUCUUCAAAUUCUUAGCAAAUACUUGUGUUAUUAUAAUUAAUAUGUGUUUUUAGUGCCUAGUUUUUAAUGGUUCCUUUCUAUUAGAAUUCUCACCAUCGAUUCCUGGUAUUAUAAUGUAUGUCUUUAUGCCCAGUUUCUCGUAGUUGUUUCGUACUUGUGUAUGUAAUUGAUAGGUUCAUACUUGUUAUACAGAAGGCUGAAAUGCAAACUUACAGCAUUUUUUUUUCUUUCUUUUGAUAAUCUACAGCACUGCAAAGUGUUCAAGAAAUGUAACCUAACAUGGGUUCUCGUGCAGGAAAAAUUUAAGAGCAAUAUAGAGUACUUAUUUCAAACACCCAUUAUUCUUGGAAAAGUCAAAAAUAUAGGGGCACAAAAAAGAAAAUAUUAAACUAGAGAAACAUGAGUUCCCCUCAUAAGUCUGAUAAUAAUGCGACUUCCUUUCACUGCAAAGAUACCAGUAAUGUACUCACAUACAAGGUUUCAAACAAGAAAGCUAUGAUGCCCUUGGCAUUUCUCAGUGCCUCUUUGCCACACUGACGAAUGUCAAAGGCAUCGUAGGUUUCAUGCACACAUUGGUUGUCUUACACUUUUGUGUAUUGCAUUUCUCAAACACAAAGGUUUACAGCAGUGCUUUAAAUAGCAAGUGCAUUUCCUAAUUUAUUAGUGCAAGAGUAACAGUGCAGAUCGUGUAAAAAUUAUUUUACAGACUAUAUGUCCAUGGAUGCACGCUUCUGAUGACAUAGCAGUGACGUGUUCGUGGGAUGAAUGUCUUUAUUUCAGAUUUAAAUAUGGGCUUCCAGGUCUGGGUUAGUCUCCUACACUGAGUAGUCUAAGUCAGAGCCCAUUUACUAGAGAAAGUGAAUUAAACUAGGAAUUAUAAACAUCAAAAGAUCUUGUUUAGGACACCAAUUAGACAAUCAGCAAGGUUCUUUGGUUAUUCAUUUCCAAAUUUGUGAGGAUAUAUUUUAUGACUGGUUUCAAUAUUGUGAGAACAAAUAUUUGUUUAUUGUCACACUAGAGUUGGCUGCCCCCAUUUGUAUACAACCCCUUUACAGGCUAAAAAUUCAGUGUGUUACCCUAUUUACUCGCAUAAUGAUCGCACUUUUUUGUAAAAAAAAUUGACUCAAAUUCAGGGGUGCGAUCAUUACGCUGGUUAAAUUUCCCGCAAAAAGAAAAAAAUAUAUUAUCUGGCAUUUACUACGGGAUGACAACAGGUCAACAAAUAGGCGGCUGCUGCUGUAUGUAGUGCAGGACACGAAAAAAAAUGGUGGCCGGCAGAGCAAGCCGAACGCGCUGAAUGCGUUUUUCUUCUCGUGAGUACAUUACAGUGCAUUCAAACAGUUUUUUCCAUAUUAGUAAUGAAUAACAUCGGCAAGUUUGCGGCAAUAACAUAGCCAUGCCCACUUUGAGGGGACAGAGAUGGGCACGCUUAGCUCUGCCAGUGGCAUAGGAACACAUGGUGGGCAUGCUGCGGAAACUGCGGCAUUUGUCUUCACCACUAUCCUAGUGUGGCACGUUUCCGCUAAGGGUGGGCGAAUAUCUUAGCUGCGUUACAAACGUCGGCGAAUGAAUAGGGUACACUUCUAACGUAUCACUGUAAACGUGGCUGCUAUCAUUGCCGCUCGCGAUUUGUUGCGUGCCCACAAGUGCAGAUGAGAAGAAUCGAAAGACGCCUUUUUUUUGUUGUUUUUGUUGACCACAACCAUUAUAAAGCCUACACAUAAUAAAGGAAAGUUUGGUUGUAGCUUUUUUUUUGUCGUAGAAGUGCAGAAAGUGAUGAAAGGAAUGAAAUGGGGCAUCUGCUUAAGAAAGUUUUUUGCAUGCAGUCUGCUUGGUUUGUCUUGAAGGGUCGUUCGCAUAGCAGUCGACAGAUGGUAAGCGCGAUCAUUAUUAGCUAGAUUUGGCACAUGACACAUCGCUGCGGCAAGUUCGGGGUGAAAUCGUUACAUGGGAAAUUAAAAAAAAAUCGAAUUUUGACGACAAAAUUUAGGAGUGCGAUCAUUACGCGAGCGCAGUCAUUAUGCGAGUAAAUACGGUAAUAGGCUGUUUUUGGUUUCGUGCACUCUAUGUUAAGGGAUGCAAAUGGUGACAUACAACAGAAUGCAAAAAUGACUAAUGAAUUCAAGCAGGGCAUGGGGCUUUUUAGGCAGAUGCGUGCGUGUGCAAUUUAUAAAGCUCCCCAUGGUAUGUCUGAAGGCAUUUUCUAACACUUUGGUAGAAUACACUGACACCCCCUUAUUAACUCUUCGAAACAACUCUUUUAUAUAUUUGUACUAGAGAUUUGAAUAUACUGUCAUUCAUAAAGUGUUUUAUUAGAUUUGAAUUGUCAUUUAUUUUUGUGUAGCUGCUGUUUUUCAGUUAUGUGCUACACAGUGGCAAAAUAUUUUUGUGGGCACUUUCCUGUGUAUAAAAUUUUCAGAAAUAGCUUCAUGCUGUAACUUAUUUAGCUACUCGUAUACUGCAAAGUGGUGAUACCUAUCCAAACGGCUUGUAC